GCGAAACUUGUGCUGUCGUCUGCAAAUACGCUGUAGCUGACACAGUGCAGAGCAUCAAUCAAUCAUGAAGGUCCUUCUCCUGUUACUCCUGGUCAUUGGAUUGGCAGCAGCUGAUGCCUGGCCUGGGA